GCUACAUUGUUCUUCUUUUUUCUUCGCUUCAUCAUGUUUUCUUCUCCAAAACAGCAAUCAAUGCAGAUGACAAUACAUCUUUCUAAUAUCAGCCUGUGUGUAAUUAAACAUAUUGAACACGGAAAAAGAGAGAAGGUUUGUAGCACGGCCUUUACCAGUCUCUGCAGAUGUUAAGACUUGACUAGAGUCAUGGGGGAAGUCACCAUGCGACUAUGUGAGCUCGUUCAGGAGUGGGAAAUCAUGCUGUACUUCUUUGAUAGUGGAGCCAUCUACAUAAAUUAUGUGAAAUUCUUCUGUGUGGGAGCCCCACAAUCAGCCAUUUCUUCAAGAAGCCCAGGUUCCUUUUUACUGGAGAAUGGUAUGAGAAACCAAGAUCUGGGCACCAGAAAGAAGUGUUCAUUGUUCCUAAGAUAUCAUGCCUAAGCCCUCUCAACUGAUUGAGCAAAG